rnacentral:snRNA from 1 species
GUGCUUGCUUCAGCAGCACAUAUACUAAAAUUGGAACAAUACAGAGAAAAUUAGCAUGGUCCCUGCACAAGGAUGACAUAGAAAUUUGUGAAGUGUUCCAUAUUAAA